rnacentral:rRNA from 1 species
AUUGAACGCUGGCGGCAUGCCUUAUACAUGCAAGUCGAACGGUAACAGGUCUUCGGUUGCUCACUAGUGGCGAACGGGUGCGUAAUACUUCGGAACGUGCCCGAUCGCGGGGGAAAACGAGGCGAAUGCUUUGCUAAUACCGCAUACGGUCUACUGAUUAAAGCGGGGGAUUUCAGGACCUCGCGCGGGCGUUGCGGCCGCUGGCAGAUUAGGUAGUUGGUGAGGUAAAAGCUUACCAAGUCGACGAUCAGUAGCUGGUCUGAGAGGAUGAUCAGCCACACUGGGACUGAGACACGGCCCAGACUCCUACGGGAGGCAGCAGUAGGGAAUUUUGGACAAUGGGCGAAAGCCUGAUCCAGCCAUGCCGCGUGCAGGAUGAAGGUCUUCGGGUUGUAAAAUGCUUUUGUACGGAACGAAAAGCCUCUUUCUAAUAAAGAGAGGUCAUGACGGUACCGAAAGAGUAAGCACCGGCUAACUACGUG